UACGAAGGGGGCUAGCGUUGCUCGGAAUUACUGGGCGUAAAGCGCACGUAGGCGGCUCUUUAAGUCGGAGGUGAAAUCCUGGAGCUCAACUCCAGAACUGCCUUCGAUACUGAAGAGCUCGAGUCCGGGAGAGGUGAGUGGAACUGCGAGUGUAGAGGUGAAAUUCGUAGAUAUUCGCAAGAGCACCAGUGGCGAAGGCGGCUCACUGGCCCGGUACUGACGCUGGAGGUGACGAAAGCGUGGGGGAGCAAACAGG
rnacentral:rRNA from 1 species